rnacentral:rRNA from 1 species
AUUGAACGCUGGCGGCAUGCCUUACACAUGCAAGUCGAACGGCAGCACGGGAGCAAUCCUGGUGGCGAGUGGCGAACGGGUGAGUAAUACAUCGGAACGUGCCCAGUAGUGGGGGAUAGCCCGGCGAAAGCCGGAUUAAUACCGCAUACGACCUGAGGGUGAAAGCGGGGGAUCGCAAGACCUCGCGCUAUUGGAGCGGCCGAUGUCGGAUUAGCUAGUUGGUGGGGUAAAGGCUCACCAAGGCAACGAUCCGUAGCUGGUCUGAGAGGACGACCCGCCACACUGGAACUGAGAAACGGCGCAGACGCCCACGGGAGGCAGCAGUGGGGAAUUUUGGACAAUGGGCGCAAGCCUGAUCAGGCCAUGCCGCGUGGGGGAAGAAGGCCUUCGGGUUGUAAACCGCUUUUGUCAGGGAAGAAACGCUCUGGGCUAAUACCCCGGGGUAAUGACGGUACCUGAAGAAUAAGCACCGGCUAACUGCGUGCCAGCAGCAGCCGCCGUAA